rnacentral:rRNA from 1 species
GGGGAUAUUGCACAAUGGGGGAAACCCUGAUGCAGCAACGCCGCGUGAGUGAAGAAGGUCUUCGGAUUGUAAAGCUCUGUUCUUGGUGAAGAUAAUGACGGUAGCCAAGGAGAAAGCUCCGGCUAACUACGUUCCAGCCGCCGCGGUAAUACGUAGGGAGCGAGCGUUGUCCGGAUUUACUGGGUGUAAAGGGUGCGCAGGCGGCUCUGCAAGUCAGGCGUGAAAGCUAGGGGCUCAACCCCUAAACUGCGCUUGAAACUGUGGAGCUUGAGUGAAGUAGAGGCAGGCGGAAUUCCCGGUGUAGCGGUGAAAUGCGUAGAGAUCGGGAGGAACACCAGUGGCGAAGGCGGCCUGCUGGGCUUUAACUGACGCUCAGGCACGAAAGCAUGGGUAGCAAACAGG